CGUCAUGGCGCUGCAGGAGGC
rnacentral:misc_RNA from 1 species